CGCCACAUUGUGAACUCAUCUUCGGAUGAAUUGCUUGGGUGCUCUCGGGCGCCCAACUUUCAAACUUUUAUUUUUUAAUCUGAAACCAUGAAAUUUAAAACUUUCAACAACGGAUCUCUUGGUUCUCGCAUCGAUGAAGAACGCAGCAAAGCGCGAUAGGUAAUGCGAAUUGCAGACGUGAGUCAUUGAAUCUUUGAACGCACAUUGCGCUACUAGGUUCUCCUAGUAGCAUGCUUGUUGGAGCGCCGAUCUUUCUCCUCUACCUCUUCUCUGAAGAGGCCUGAGGGUUUUGCUCCCAUCGGGAGUUAAAAGAAUGGAAGUGCACACGUUAGAUAACUCUGUGCAGUUACACUUUUAUUUUUGGCCCCCAAUCAAGCAAGGCUACCCGCUGAACUUAAAGCAUAU
rnacentral:rRNA from 1 species